GAGCAGGAGGGAGAAACAAAAUGAUCAUUUAAAUGCUAUGCGAUUCAGAAUGGAGAAGACAAGAAAACCCUAGGGAUGCCCUGACGGAAGUGAGAGAGAAGAGACGAACUGUGGAGGUUGCCACCAUGGUGCUGUGGGGCCUUCACCAUCAACUUUCACGGUGUGUCUGCACUGGGACCGAGCUAACACAGCACUUCCAGGACAGAGGAGAAGAUGCAUAGCUCCAUGUCUUAAUUCUGGUUUCCAUGGGAAGAAUGUUGAACUGGAAAAUCAGCCAACACCUCAGAGAAACUUCCUCCCUUUCAAGCCAAAGUCAUGGUAUUGUUUUAAUGUUGGGUUUGACCAUGAAGAUGGCAUUCAGGCAAAUUAAGAAGUUGUGUAAUGUUAUAAAUAAAUAAAAAGCA